rnacentral:miRNA from 1 species
CCAGACUCAAUAGCAGGACCCA